rnacentral:rRNA from 1 species
GAGUCCUACGGGGGGCAGCAGUGGGGAAUAUUGCACAAUGGGGGAAACCCUGAUGCAGCGACGCCGCGUGAGCGAUGAAGUAUUUCGGUAUGUAAAGCUCUAUCAGCAGGGAAGAAAAUGACGGUACCUGAAGAAGAAGCCCCGGCUAACUACGUGCCAGCAGCCGCGGCAAUACGAAGGGGGCAAGCGUUAUCCGGAUUUACUGGGUGUAAAGGGGGCGCAGACGGCGAUGCAAGCCAGGAGUGAAAGCCCGGGGCCCAACCCCGGGACUGCCCUUGGAACUGCGUGGCUGGAGU